rnacentral:lncRNA from 1 species
CAGCUUUCCCAAGAACUGCCAACACAGCAAAUUACUGGCUUACUCCUGAGUCCAUGCUGGGGUAGUGAAACGGUUGCAGUCCUGACAUUCCAGCAGAAAGCUAAGGAAACUCUCCUGAAGUCAAGCAGUUCCUUACAAACCACAUGAGAGCCAAGCCAAGAGCAUUCUCUUUCCAGGGAUCUACAGAAAAGUCUGGUUGAUCUGUAUACCUUUUCUUCACGUGUUACUCUUCUACAGGGAUGGUUGGACUAGAUGAUCUUGGAGAUUUUUUUCAGCCUUGCCCCAUUGGAGGCACAGACCUAAGGCAAAUAGAGGAGAAUAUGAUGCAGCUGCAGAUCCUGGCAAGUGGAACUAUACCCCCAAAAGAUUCAGUUCAGUCAGAAGCGUGCAUUGCGAUGGUAACAGAGUUAAGCCCAGGAGAAGGUCUAAUCUAAUCAGCUGCACUUUCAUCAUCCCUGUCAUAAGAAAAUUCAUUUAGAUUCACUGUCAAGAACCUGAACAAGAUCAUCUUCUCCACCUUUCCACAUUAAAGACUUAAAAAGAUACAUUUCUGCAAAAUUCAAAUUUUGUAUGGAUUUUGGAGGUCUAAAAACAG